UUGUCGUCAUCAUUGUUAUCAUUUAUUUUAUUAUUUAUUCUACUUUCCUCUGAUUAUUAAUAUUGGAAUUAAAGUGAUAUGCAUUAUGGAUUGCUUAUUAGUAUAUUUAUAUUAUUGCCACUUAUUAGUGUAACAUUCGAUUCAUAUGUCAUUUUUAUAUUACAUUAAUUCUUACUCAAAUACACAAAAAUAAAAUUUUUAAAAUAAGGCAAUAUUCCGUGUUUGGAGAUUCAAAAGAUCGUGCCCUAACUUACUGGGUUUCAAUUUUCCUCGUUUGACCCAAAUGACCGAAUAUCCUUUUAAAAUUAAAAUACAUGAGCUUUGAAAAUAAAAAGACAAGCUUAUUCUCGAGGGUUUAAAAUGUUAUGUCCUAACGUACUGGAUGUGGCAUUUUAUUACUUCGGGACAAGAAGGUCUUUAGCAUCUGUUUUGAUUUACUCAAGCAAAUUCUUCGUAAAAAUCAACCUAAAAAAGGAGGAUCGUAUUUUUAAUUCUUUUUGGGUUUUCAGCUUUCGAUGUUAAGACAUUAAUUAAUCAAUUAGGUACCAAUUUUGGGAGUUAUGAGGGUGCUAAUCCUUCCUCAUAUGUAAUCGACUCCCGAACUCGUUUUCUCAAAUUUCGUAGACCAAAAACACCGUUUUAAUAAACUAAAAUAUUUUAUUAAAGCGAAGCUGAUCCGAUCACACCUAAUAAAGAUCGGUGGCAACUCCCAUGUUCAUUUUCGUUUUCAAAAUCAAAUUCGACCCCGUUUUUCAAAAAAAAAAGGUUUCGACAGCUUGGUGACUCCACUGGGGAAUCAAAUAAGAGAGUCAAGUCACAAGUUGAUUUACUUUUGUCUUUUUGUUGAAAAUUGAAAAUUUGGUUUUGAUAUGUGAUCCUUUCAUUGCAUUUCAUCUGUUUUGUGUUACGAUCUUCAUCAUUUUAUUCAUAUUUUCUUUGUUUGUUUCGAGCUUUUUUGUAUAUCCCUGCACAUUGCAUUGCAUGAACGCGCGGUUACACCCUUUUAAGUGGGAGUGAGAAACUAUUCCUUCUUGAGGUCCUCACCUCCAUAUAGGACAGUGGAUCACUUUCGGAAUACAUUUGUACUUAUGUCUUCGUGAGAUUUUUAUCUCCAUGCAAUCAUAGGGAAAUGUAUCCCCCUGAACUGAACUCGGUCCGUAUGAGCCUAUAAUGGGUGAGGAUUGAGGAAUCUGCAGGUUCGGGUACCUUUUACUUUAGAACCAAACCGCAUAUAGAGAGCCCUAGGAGCUUACCCUAAGUAGAGGCACGCCAAAUCCUAGUGGUUACCCGGAUAGGUGCUCUAUUUUGUUUUUAUUUCUUCUGUGCUGAUGCGUUGAUUUUACUCUAAUCACAUUGCAUUUUCAUCGUAAGUGAUCCUUUCGUUGCAUUUUUAUUCGUCCUUGUUACGAUCCUUAGCAUUGCGGUUUAUAAUUGUUGUGUUGGUUUGAGUUUAGACAACUUUCUGCAUAUUGCAUUGCAUGAUUGGUCAAUCUUACCCUUUUAAGUGGGAGUGAGAAGCUAUACCUUCGUGAGGUUUUCACCUCCACAUAGGCUAGUAGACUGCUUCCGGGAUACAUCCGUACCUAUGUUUUCGUGAGAUUUUCAUCUCCGCAUGGCCAUAGGGAAAUAUAUUCCCCUGAACUGAACUCGAUCCAUAUGAGCCUAUAAUGGGUGAAGAUUGAGGAAUCUGUUGGUUCAGGUACCCUUUCCUUAGAACCGAACCACAUAUAGAGAGACCUAGGAGCCCACCUUAGGUAGAGCCACGCCAAACCCUAGUGGUCACCCAGAUACGUGUUUUAUUUUAUUGUUUAUUUCUUCUACACUAACGUAUUUUGUUUUGUUUUACAUUACAUUACAUCAUCAUAGAAAGAAGGUGUUGAUUCAUAUUCGAUUGCUAAAUAGAAGAGCUUGUCAUGGGAAAAUGGAUUUCUUGAUAAAGUAGAUUAUAAUAUAGUUGUCUGAAUAUGGUCCAAGUAGACACAACGAAAGAAGGCUGAUAGUCUGCGGAGUAAUACAAAACUUUGUUUUAUUGCCCGAGGAUUCAAGCCGACAAAGAUUAUUCGAGAGCCGUCACAUCUUGAUUUUCCUAAAGGAGCUAACGAGUAUAGCAGGAUAAGUAAGCAAUGAGUCGCGGCCUGGAUUAAGCAAAAAGAAGAUAGAUGAGGCGCCCUCUUGAAGAGUUCACGAGAUUUGAUCUUGACAUCUGAAUAUGAAGAAAAGGAUCGAUGUCUUCACUUUGAGUAUUAGGAUAAGGCCGAAUAUGUAAUCCGUUUUAUUAAAGAAAUUUGUUUUCUAGAAAAAGUUGUUCUAAUGGAAUUAAAUUCAGAAUCA
rnacentral:lncRNA from 1 species